rnacentral:rRNA from 1 species
GACGUAGGGCGCGAGCGUUGUCCGGAUUUAUUGGGCGUAAAGAGCUCGUAGGCGGCUCGGUAAGUGAGGUGUGAAAACUCCAGGCUCAACCUGGAGACGCCACCUCAUACUGCCGUGGCUAGAGUCCGGUAGGGGAGCAUGGAAUUCCGGGUGUAGUGGUGGAAUGCGUAGAGAUCCGGAGGAACACCAGCGGCGAAGGCGGCAUCCUGGACUGGUCCUGACACUCAGGAGCGAAAGCGUGGGGAGCGAUCCGG